rnacentral:rRNA from 1 species
CCUACGGGGGGCAGCAGUGGGGAAUAUUGGACAAUGGGGGGAACCCUGAUCCAGCCAUGCCGCGUGUGUGAAGAAGGCCCUCGGGUUGUAAAGCACUUUCAGUGAGGAAGAACGCCUGGUGGUUAAUACCCAUCAGGAAAGACAUCACUCACAGAAGAAGCACCGGCUAACUCCGUGCCAGCAGCCGCGGUAAUACGGAGGGUGCGAGCGUUAAUCGGAAUUACUGGGCGUAAAGCGCGCGUAGGUGGCUUGAUAAGCCGGUUGUGAAAGCCCCGGGCUCAACCUGGGAACGGCAUCCGGAACUGUCAAGCUAGAGUGAAGGAGAGGAAGGUAGAAUUCCCGGUGUAGCGGUGAAAUGCGUAGAGAUCGGGAGGAAUACCAGUGGCGAAGGCGGCCUUCUGGACUGACACUGACACUGAGGUGCGAAAGCGUGGGUAGCAAACAGGAUUAGAUACCCGGGUAGUC